AACGAACGCUGGCGGCAUGCCUAACACAUGCCAGUCGAACGAGACCUUCGGGUCUAGUGGCGCACGGGUGCGUAACGCGGGGGAACCUGCCCUUAGGUUCGGAAUAACUCCCCGAAAGGGGUGCUAAUACCGGAUAAUGUCUUCGGACCAAAGAUUUAUCGCCUUUGGAUGGGCCCGCGUUGGAUUAGCUAGUUGGUAGGGUAAAAGCCUACCAAGGCGACGAUCCAUAGCUGGUCUGAGAGGAUGAUCAGCCACACUGGGACUGAGACACGGCCCAGACUCCUACGGGAGGCAGCAGUGGGGAAUAUUGGACAAUGGGCGAAAGCCUGAUCCAGCAAUGCCGCGUGAGUGAUGAAGGCCUUAGGGUUGUAAAGCUCUUUUACCCGGGAUGAUAAUGACAGUACCGGGAGAAUAAGCUCCGGCUAACUCCGUG
rnacentral:rRNA from 1 species